rnacentral:rRNA from 1 species
CAGCAGCCGCGGGAAUACAGAUGGUGCGAGCGUUAAUCGGAUUUACUGGGCGUAAAGCGUGCGUAGGCGGCUUCUUAAGUCGGAUGUGAAAUCCCUGAGCUUAACUUAGGAAUUGCAUUCGAUACUGGGAAGCUAGAGUAUGGGAGAGGAUGGUAGAAUUCCAGGUGUAGCGGUGAAAUGCGUAGAGAUCUGGAGGAAUACCGAUGGCGAAGGCAGCCAUCUGGCCUAAUACUGACGCUGAGGUACGAAAGCAUGGGGAGCAAACAGGAUUAGAUACCCGUGUAGUCCCUGUCUCUUAUAC